rnacentral:rRNA from 1 species
AGAAUCCCGUCUGAGUCGGCUGGCGUGUGCCCGUGCAAAGCUCCUUCGACGAGUCGAGUUGUUUGGGAAUGCAGCUCUAAUUGGGUGGUAAAUUUCAUCUAAAGCUAAAUACUGGCCGGAGACCGAUAGCGAACAAGUAGAGUGAUCGAAAGGUUAAAAGCACCUUGAAAAGGGAGUUAAAUAGCACGUGAAAUUGUUGAAAGGGAAGCGCUUGCAGCCAGACUCGGGUGCGGAGGCUCAGCGGGCAUGUUUGCCCGUGUACUCCUUCGCGCCCGGGCCAGCAUCAGUUUUGGCGGUCGGUCAAAGGCCCUCGGAAUGUGUCGUCCUCCGGGACGUCUUAUAGCCGAGGGUGCAAUGCGGCCAGCUGGGACUGAGGAACGCGCUUCGGCACGGAUGCUGGCAUAAUGGCUGUAAGCGGCCCGUCUUGAAACACGGACCAAGGAGUCUAACAUCCACGCGAGUGUUCGGGUGUCAAACCCGUACGCGCAGUGAAAGCGAACGGAGGUGAGAGCCCGCAAGGGUGCAUCAUCGACCGAUCCUGAAGUCUUCGGAUGGAUUUGAGUAAGAGCGUGGCUGUUGGGACCCGAAAGAUGGUGAACUAUGCCUGAAUAGGGUGAAGCCAGAGGAAACUCUGGUGGAGGCUCGCAGCGGUUCUGACGUGCAAAUCGAUCGUCAAAUUUGGGUAUAGGGGCGAAAGA